rnacentral:tRNA from 1 species
GGAGAGGUGGCCGAGCCAGGUUGAAGGCGCUUCCCUGCUAAGGAAGUGAGGGGUACUGCCCCUCCGUGGGUUCAAAUCCCACCCUCUCCG